AGAUCUUUAAGUAUAAGAAUCAUAACAAAUUCCCAUUAGGUUUUCCAUAUGCUACUUGAGUAGCACUUAACCUGUUGGGAACAUUU
ensembl:snoRNA LOC120098685 small nucleolar RNA SNORA32